UACGUAGGUGGCAAGCGUUGUCCGGAUUUAUUGGGUUUAAAGGGUGCGUAGGCGGCCAAUUAAGUCAGUGCUGAAAUACUCUAGCUUAACUAGAGGGGUGGCAUUGAUACUGAUUGGCUUGAGUGAAGUCGAAGUAGGCGGAAUUGACGGUGUAGCGGUGAAAUGCUUAGAUAUCGUCAAGAACACCGAUAGUGAAGACAGCUUACUAGACUUCAACUGACGCUGAGGCACGAAAGUGUGGGGAGCAAACAGG
rnacentral:rRNA from 1 species